GAUCAUGGCUCAGGAUGAACGCUGGCGGCGUGCCUAACACAUGCAAGUCGAGCGAUUCUCUUCGGGAGAAGAGCGGCGGACGGGUGAGUAACGCGUGGGUAACCUGCCCUGUACACACGGAUAACAUACCGAAAGGUAUGCUAAUACGAGAUAAUAUACUUUUAUCGCAUGGUAGAAGUAUCAAAGCUCCGGCGGUACAGGAUGGACCCGCGUCUGAUUAGCUAGUUGGUAAGGUAACGGCUUACCAAGGCGACGAUCAGUAGCCGACCUGAGAGGGUGAUCGGCCACAUUGGAACUGAGACACGGUCCAAACUCCUACGGGAGGCAGCAGUGGGGAAUAUUGCACAAUGGCGAAAGCCUGAUGCAGCAACGCCGCGUGAGCGAUGAAGGCCUUCGGGUCGUAAAGCUCUGUCCUCAAGGAAGAUAAUGACGGUACUUGAGGAGGAAGCCCCGGCUAACUACGUG
rnacentral:rRNA from 1 species